GUUUCCCCCAUUCCCAGCAUUGUGUAUGCCUUCUGGAAAUGUUACCCCCAGUCCCAGCACUGUGUGUGCCUUCUGGAAAUGUUCCCCCAGUCCCAGCACUGUGUGAGUCUUCUGGAAAUGUUCCCCCAGUCCCAGCACUGUGUGUGUCUUCUGGAAAUGUUUCCCCCAUUCCCAACACUGUGUGUGCCUUCUGGAAAUGUUACCCCCAGUCCCAGCAUUGUGUGUGCCUUCUGGAAAUGUUUCCCCCAGUCCCAGCACUGUGUGUACCUUCUGGAAAUGUUACCCCCUGUUACGGUACUUCCAGUAAUAAAUGUACAAACCGCCGUUUAGUGAAUGCUCC
rnacentral:lncRNA from 1 species